UACGUAGGGUGCGAGCGUUGUCCGGAUUUAUUGGGCGUAAAGAGCGUGUAGGCGGCCUGAAAGGUCAGCUGUGAAAACUCGAGGCUCAACCUCGAGACGUCGGUUGAAACCAUCUGGCUAGAGUCCGGAAGAGGAGUGUGGAAUUCCCGGUGUAGCGGUGAAAUGCGCAGAUAUCGGGAAGAACACCCGUGGCGAAGGCGGCACUCUGGGACGGUAC
rnacentral:rRNA from 1 species